rnacentral:rRNA from 1 species
UACGUAGGGAGCAAGCGUUGUCCGGAAUCAUUGGGCGUAAAGAGCGCGUAGGCGGUCCGGUAAGUCGGUUGUGAAAACUGGGGGCUCAACCCUCAGAGGCCGACCGAUACUGCCGGGCUAGAGUCCGGAAGAGGCGAGUGGAAUUCCUGGUGUAGCGGUGAAAUGCGUAGAUAUCACUUGGAACGCCAAUGGUGAAAACAGCUCGCUGGGGAUGUGCCGACGCUGAGACACGAAAGCCAGGGGAGCGAACGGG